UUAUUAUGAUGAUUUGCUUUUGGUCCGUGUUUAUGAAUCUUUGUGAUUUUACUCUCAAAAGCUCUGAGCAA
rnacentral:snoRNA from 1 species